GAACAAUGUGCGGGUCGCGAGCCUCUCCCACCGCCUGGUCACCAGCAUCAGAGAAAUCGAGCAUCAAUGUUCAACCCACGCAGAUGGAUGAAAUGAUGAAGCGUUACGUCGAAUCUCAGGUCCUACUGGCCCAACGACACCACAGUGACUGCUCGAAUUUCUGCCUGCCUGGCGGACAUCUCGGCCUGGAUGAAGGAGCACCACCUGCAACUCAACCCAGCCAAGACUGAACUCCUUGUCUUUCCAGCCAAUCCUGCUGUUGAACACAACAUCACCGUGCAGCUGGGUGCAACUACAGUAACGCCUUCCAAAUCGGUCAGAAAUCUAGGGGUAACCAUCGACAACAGACUAAAUUUCACAGACCACAUCUCAAAGUCCUUAAGAUCAUGUAGAUUUACACUUUACAAUAUCAGGAAGAUAAGACCCUUCCUCUCUGAACAUGCCACACAACUGUUUGUCCAGUCACUUGUCAUAACUAGGCUGGACUACUGUAACGCUCUCAUUGCAGGUCUCCCUGCAUGUGCAAUUAGACCCCUCCAAAUGAUCCAGAAUGCAGCAGCACGUCUGGUCUUUAAUGAACCAAAGAGAGCACAUGUUACACCACUCCUUGUCUCUCUCCACUGGCUGCCGGUUGAUGCACGUAUCAAAUUCAAGGCUCUGAUGCUGGCAUACAGAACAGUCACUGGGUCUGCUCCAGCAUACCUAAAAUAAUUUAUGCAGAGCUACGCGCCCACUAGAAGCCUGCGGUCGGCUAAGGAACGUCGCCUUGUUGUACCAACACAAAGAGGCACCAAAACACUUUCCCGGACUUUCAGCUUCAUCAUACCACGUUGGUGGAACGACCUUCCCAACUCCAUCCGUGAAGCUGACUCACUCUCUGUCUUCAAAAAACGACUAAAAACACAUCUUCUGUUGCACUUUAUUCUGUUUUGAAUACUAUUAUGAUGCUAGUGAUACUUUGUAAUACAGCACUUUUCAUACCACUGUCUCCUAAGAUGAUUCGCUUAUGUUUUCCUCUUUUGUAAGUCGCUUUGGAUAAAAGCGUCUGCCAAAUGAAUAAAUGUAAAUGUAAAUGUAUUCUCUCACUAACAUGUAUUCAUUUGUGGUAAAUGUGUAAUUACGACACAUGCUCUCUGUUGCUGAUGCCGAAAAACGAAUUCAUGCGUUCAUGACCUCAAGACUAGAUUAUUUUAAUGCAUUACUGGGAGGAUGUCCAGCAAGAUCAAUAAAUAAACUUCAAUUGGUUCAAAAUGCAGCAGCCAGAGUGCUGACUAGAACCAAGAAAUAUGAUCAUAUUAGCCCCAUUUUAUCAUCAUUACAUUGGCUACCUGUUAAGUUUCGUAUUAAUUUUAAAAUUCUUUUAACUACGUACAAAGCUUUGAAUGGUCUAGCUUCGCAGUGCUUAAGUGACCUUCUACCACGCUAUAUUCAUCACGUUCAUUACGAUCACAAAAUUGUGGCCUGUUAAUAGUUCCUAGAAUAUCAAAAUCCACAAAAGGAGGUAUAUACUUCCCAUAUUUGGCUCCUAAACUAUGGAAUAGUCUCUCUAACACUGUUCGAGAUGCAGACACACUCACUCAGUUUAAGUCUAGACUAAACACUCAUCUAUUUAGCCAGGCAUACACCUAAUUUAUCCUUCAACUCACAAUUAGGCUGCUUUAGUUAGGUCUGCCGGAACCAGAAACCAGAAACAUUGAUUGUGAUCUAUAACUCUGCAAUAAAUUGAAUGGCAUUUAUGCUAAUAUUAUUCUAUUUGUUUCCCUGUCUCAACCUCGGGACUCCUAUCCUGAGGUCGCCAGAACCAGCUGGAUCCAGCUCCAUUCCUGCUUCGUGUUGGACUCCACUGCUAUGUGUCGCACAGUGAGCCUGGUUUUUCCCAAGGAAAGUGAAUGAAGACAGGAAACGACAGGAGAAGAGGGGGAACAGUGUCACUGAGCCGAGACUUGAACUUGGUUCACCUGUGGCGGUAUCACACCAUAUGUCGAAGCCUACAAGAUUAUUACAAAGAUACUUCACCUUGUUCUAAGACCUGCCA